rnacentral:rRNA from 1 species
ACGGGAGGCAGCAGUGAGGAAUAUUGGACAAUGGGGGCAACCCUGAUCCAGCCAAACCGCGUGAGGGAUGAAGGUCCUACGGAUCGUAAACCUCUUUUAUGUGGGAAUAAUUGUUGGUAUGCAUACCAACUUGAAGGUACCACUUGAAUAAGCAUCGGCUAACUCCGUGCCAGCAGCCGCGGUAAUACGGAGGAUGCAGGCGUUAUCCGGAUUUAUUAGGUUUAAAGGGUGCGCAGGCGGGACAUUAAGUCGGCGGUGAAAUACCGUGGCCCAACCACGGGGCUGCCGUCGAUACUGAUGACCUAGAGUGCGUGUGACGUAGGCGGAAUGUGGAGUGUAGCGGUGAAAUGCUUAGAUAUGACGAAGAACUCCGAUUGCGAAGGCAGCUGACUGUAGCGUAACUGACGCUGAAGCUCGAAAGUGCGGGUAUCGAACAGGAUUAGAUACCCUGGUA